rnacentral:lncRNA from 1 species
GAAAUUAUGGUAGGAAUGGAUUAUGAAUACAAGCUUAGGCUAAAAUUACACAAACUAGAAACAUUGGCAGCUACUAUAAGAGUUCCUCAAUAAAGAAAACAACAAUGAAAUAGGAUUAAAAUGUGAAAGGAACUCUCCUAUCUAAAUACACCCAUCAAAUUACCUAUAAACUCAUACACUAAAAACUAAUCAAUUUGACAUUCCACUGAAUCACACAUAAAAGUGAUAUACCAUGAGAAGAAACAACAAUUGGGUCAAGUUGGGGGAGGUGACGAUACAAGUGGACCCAAUUGGUCGGACAUUGUAACCACCACCACCAUCACCACCACAACACAGCUUUGAAAACAAGAACCAGCCAGGAUUUUUGACAUGCCAAUGCUGAUUGAACCCACAAAUAAUACUAGCAACCAAGCAAGCUGCAGGAACCAGGAACUAUCAUCAUCACCAUCAAGAUGUACACGUGUGGUGAUCUGGUGCACCCUGAUUAGUUCAAGUAGGUCCCAACCCCCUAGGGAUCGGUCACAUAUUCUGAUUCAGGGAAUCAGAAAGAAAGCUGAUCCUUUGUUUGCUUGUUUGGAC